rnacentral:rRNA from 1 species
GAUGAACGCUGGCGGCGUGCCUAAUACAUGCAAGUCGAGCGAACGGACGAGAAGCUUGCUUCUCUGAUGUUAGCGGCGGACGGGUGAGUAACACGUGGAUAACCUACCUAUAAGACUGGGAUAACUUCGGGAAACCGGAGCUAAUACCGGAUAAUAUUUUGAACCGCAUGGUUCAAAAGUGAAAGACGGUCUUGCUGUCACUUAUAGAUGGAUCCGCGCUGCAUUAGCUAGUUGGUAAGGUAACGGCUUACCAAGGCAACGAUGCAUAGCCGACCUGAGAGGGUGAUCGGCCACACUGGAACUGAGACACGGUCCAGACUCCUACGGGAGGCAGCAGUAGGGAAUCUUCCGCAAUGGGCGAAAGACUGACGGAGCAACGCCGCGUGAGUGAUGAAGGUCUUCGGAUCGUAAAACUCUGUUAUUAGGGAAGAACAUAUGUGUAAGUAACUGUGCACAUCUUGACGGUGCCUAAUCAGAAAGCCACGGCUAACUACGUG